GUAAGGAAUAUUGGUCAAUGGACGAAAGUCUGAACCAGCCAUGCCGCGUGGAGGAUGAAGGUCCUCUGGAUUGUAAACUUCUUUUAUAUGGGACGAAAAAAGGCUUUUCUAAGUCGUCUGACGGUACCAUAUGAAUAAGCACCGGCUAACUCCGUGCCAGCAGCCGCGGUAAUACGGAGGGUGCAAGCGUUAUCCGGAUUCACUGGGUUUAAAGGGUGCGUAGGUGGAUUGCCAAGUCCGUGGUGAAAUCUUCGAGCUUAACUCGGAAACUGCCAUGGAUACUGGUGAUCUUGAAUAUCGUGGAGGUUAGCGGAAUAUGUCAUGUAGCGGUGAAAUGCUUAGAUAUGACAUAGAACACCAAUUGCGAAGGCAGCUGGCUACGCGAAUAUUGACACUCAGGCACGAAAGCGUGGGGAUCAAACAGGAUUAGAUACCCGAGUAGUCC
rnacentral:rRNA from 1 species